UAGUUUUGAUUACGAAGAUGCAGGCUACCAGACUGCAGAACUUGUAAAAAUGGAUAUUCUACUGAAUGGAAAUACUGUAGAGGAGCUAGUAACUGUUGUACACAAUGUGAAAGCCUAUAGGAAAAACGUUUUGGCAAAAUGUUAUGGUGGUGAUAUUACCCGAAAAAUGAAGCUUUUGAAGAGACAAGCAGAAGGGAAAAAAAAGCUGAGGAAAAUUGGCAACGUUGAAGUUCCAAAAGAUGCUUUUAUAAAAGUUCUGAAAACACAAUCUUCUAAAUAAUUGGUGGGAAAACAAAGAAUUUUCAUUGCAAUUUGUAAUAUGCUGACAACAGAAAGAAAAUUAUAAAAUUUGCUUGUUACUUUCAGGGUAUUCAGGUUCAAAUAACCUAGUAGUCUUUCGUUGAAAGGGAGUAGUUAGUGGGUAGGCAAGAGCUUUUUAUUUUGAAGCCAUGUUGCCUGUUCUCAAAUAUCUGUUCCAACCACUCACUAGUAAGGUGACCGUGGCCAAAUUAACCUUUGUUUCCUCUUCAGUAAAAUCGAGAUUAUAUUACUACCUACAUAAGUUGUUGUUGUGAAGAUUAAAUGAGGUAAUACGUUAAAUAUUCAGAGGUGCAAGACACAUAGCACUCAAUUGUAACUACAGUUAAGUCCUUAAAUGCCAUCGAAAGGUUCUUAGAAACUGACUUUAAGCAAAAUGACACGUAGCACAAUGUUCUUGAAUGAUGUCAUUUCCUUAAGUGGUUUGUAACAUCAAUGAGGAAAAAAAAUUGGUUUAUGCGUCAUUUCAUUUUUAUUUAUUUUUUGAGACAGAGUCUUGCCCUGUCGCCCAGGCUGGAGUGCAAUGGCGCAAUCUCGACUCACUGCAACCUCUGCCUCCCGGGUUCAAGAGAUUCUCCUGCCUCAGCCUCCAUUACAGGCGUGCACCACCAUGCUCGGCUAAUUUUUUGUAUCUUUAGUAGAGUCGGGGUUUCACCAUGUUGGCCAGGCUGGUCUUGAACUCCUGACCUCGUGAUCCACCCGCCGUGGCCUCCCAAAGUGCUGAUUACAGGUGUGAGCCACCAUGCCCAGCCAUGUCAUUUCAUUUAAAGUCACAAUUUCCAUGAAUCUCAACAAGUGAGGACCUGCUAUAUUUUGUUGCAUGCAGUUUUUCUUUACUGACACUAAAAGGCCCCAUACUUAAGAUUCCAUCUACUUUAAGUUUAAAGGAUUUUCAGAAUCACCUUAAGUGUCAAAUUUGUUAGCAGGAUUAAUUGAUAUGAAUUCACUUAUUAAACAGUAAACUCAAAUAACAUAGACAUCAAAUAACAGACAUCUGCUCUAGUUCAUGAUAAAAUGUUUAUAGAUUUUAUCAGGUGGUUAGUUUGAAACUAAAUGGUUUACAUCUAAAUUAAGGGCAGGAGCUGUCUUUCAGACAUUCAAAACGCAUUUGUGUAAAAUGACAGGUGUUUGGUAUUACCAGGAACUCAUAAUGACAUUCUAAUAAUUAUUGUCUAAAUUUCAUAAUCGAAGCGAUUUUAGAGUAGUUAACUUGAGAUUUCACAGCCAGUAAAUGGCUGUAUUUCUCCAGAGCUCUCAGCUCCCAUGUUUAUUCAGCCAACGAACAAACCAGACAGCAGACUGUAUUAGAGCAAGACAACAUCAUUUAGCCAUUGAUUUUUAUCUUCUACCUUGAAUGAAUUGAAUGAAGAAAAUGUCUUUUAGGGAUAAACACUAUCAAGGAUGAAUUUUAUACUAAGGUUAUAUGAAAGAAAAAGAAAUCUCAAAACCACUAAGCCAAAGGGAAGUCAAGCUGGGAACUGAUUGAGGCAAACCUGCCUCCCAUUGUAUUCCUAAAUAAGACAGCCACAAAGAUAAAAUUUGCCCACAAGGGAAUUCCUUAUGGACUAAGAACUCAUAGUCUUCCUUCUGCUCACAUGAAACAAAUGCAUAAAUGAUUGCUUUCUCUGUUUCAUGUUUCACUAAGCCAGAUUAAGGUAUAACUGACUAUUCCUCUACCCUCCUCUCACAUGUAAAUUGUAUAUUCAGUGAAAGGCUAAUCAGAAACUCAAAAAAAUGCAACCCUUUCUCUCUUACCUGCCUAUGCUUGAAGCCCCCGCCCCUCUUCAAGUUGUCCUGCCUUUCAAGACCAAUGUACACCUUACACAUACUGAUUGAUGUCUCAUGUCUCUCUAAAAUGUGUAAAACCAAGCUGUGCCCCAACCACCUUGGGCACAUGUGGUGAGGACCUCCUGAGGCUGUGUCAUGCGCACACCUUAACCCUGGGAAAAUAAACUUUCUAAACUG
rnacentral:sRNA from 1 species